GAAUGAACAGGGAUGAUGCAGCAGAAGUGGUGGAUCAUAUAACAAGGAGACUGUCACAGUAGGCUUCUUCUAGGUUUUGUUUGCCCUGCAAGAACUUGUCAGAACAAAGACAACUCACCUGGAGGUAGAAAACUCCUCUGAGCCUGUGCCUGCUGCUGCAUUUCAUCACUGGCUUUUGACUGAGGCAUCUGAUUGUUGUGGCUAAAUUAGUGCAGAUCAUUUGGGCUGGCUGUCAUGGGAUUACAUGUCCACUUAGAGGCAGGUACUAGGGCAUAGAAGUUUGAGCCUAGGCCAGAUCACACUUGUUCUAUGUAUUAACUUCAAAGUCUGAGGAAGCCCUGUAUUGGUUAAUGUGUCACAGCUGAGGUGACCUGGAAAUCAUCUUCAUAAUUUGAAAACUCUGGGAAAGGAAAAUUUCUUUAUAACCCAGUCAAAGUAAGCAACACACAAGUGCCAAUUUGUGUUGGUACUGAGGACGCUGCAGACUCAAGUAGCUGAUAACUGGCUUUGUGACAGCCUACUUCUCUUGCAGAGUGGAAUCUUCGUGAACCUGAGAGCCUGGCCUAACAUUUCCACAGUGAUGAUAAAAAUGCUGAUCAGAAGUUUAGUAUCACCAUUUCUCAGUUCAAAAGCCAUCUAAAUAUGCUAUGCUGAACCUUGGAGGUGUAGUUAUCACUGCUGAGUUGUAAGCAAGAGAACUUGUUAGAGUUUCACCAUGCUGGAAGGCCAGAGAAAAGAGUUGGCCUCUAGAACUCUCUACCUCAAAGAGGUUCCUACAGCUUGCUGUUGGUACAAACUGAAGCAUUCAGCCCUUCAUGGAAUCAAUGGAGUCUAUAACUUUAAUGUAUAAAUAUGCUUAAAAAGAUUCUGGGACCUUCAUUGAUUGACACAAUAUGAUGAAUUGUCCUAAUCCUCUGUA
rnacentral:lncRNA from 1 species